ACUUCCGGCGACGCUCUGGGCAGCGGGAGGACAGCGCGCUCGGCGGCGGGAGAGCGGGACGGCCCAGCCGCGGCGCCUUCAGCUCAUCGGUUGCCCGCAGGCGCCGGCCGAGUCCUUCCUGCCGGGCAGGAAGCCCUGCCUCGUGGGGGGCAAGGUCGAGCCGUUGGCGCGCCGGGAUCCGGCUCGAGCCAACUGAGGACCGGGCACCCGCAGGACGUGUCAGGAGGUGUCGAAGGCCCGCUGUGGGGCGGCCACGCGCGUUCCCGUCCGUUCCCCGCGGCGUCCCGCGCUUGUCCCGGGUCCCGCUCGGCUCACGGGACCCUCCAGGCCCCCGGGGCUGUGGCAGCACGCGGGUCCCGAGCGUGGGCUUCCUUGGGGCCGAGAGCUUGGAGCGCCCCAGGCGCUGCCCCCCGCCUCCCUGCAGGACGCCGCCCUCGCGUCUCCGCUGCAGAGAAGCCCUUGCUGCCCGCCUCUCGCGGGCUCUGGGCUCUUUCUCACCAGGGACCGAGCUCUCAUUCGUUCAGCCUUCCCCGGGCAAGAUGCACCUCCUGUCCAAGUCUCUCGCCCUUCCGCCUGCCGCAGACCGAAGGUCACGCAUCUCCAGCUGGAAUGCUGCAAAAGUGACGCUUUUCAUCAUGGGUGCAAAGUGUACAGCUGCAAUGUGGACUUGUUCCCUCUUACAACGAGUAGACAGACCCUCUCUGGGGAGAAAAGAAAGGCUGAAGAACCGAUUCCCAUGAGAGAACCCUAAGAAGACAGCAACAGAGGGCCAGACGCGCCCCUGGAACUGGACCCUGGACUGGGGCGGGAGGGCCACAGCCUUGGGAGCCCAGGUCCCUGCCCGCGCCUCCGACAGUCCCGCGCCGCCGCCACCCGGCAUCUGCCUCUGGGCCUCCACAUCUCGUGCCUGGAACCGCGUUCAUUGCGCACUGCACCAGUAAACACCUGAACACUCCCA
rnacentral:lncRNA from 1 species